rnacentral:rRNA from 1 species
GACGAACCGUGCAAACGUUAUUCGGAAUCACUGGGCUUAAAGGGCGCGUAGGCGGGCCGCCAGGUCCGGGGUGAAAGCCUCCAGCUCAACUGGAGAAGUACCUUGGAUACCGGCGGCCUCGAGGGAGGUAGGGGCGUGCGGAACUUCGGGUGGAGCGGUGAAAUGCGUAGAUAUCCGAAGGAACACCGGUGGCGAAAGCGGCGCGCUGGAUCUCUUCUGACGCUGAGGCGCGAAAGCCAGGGAAGCAAACAGG